rnacentral:rRNA from 1 species
CCUACGGGUGGCUGCAGUCAAGAACCUUCCGCAAUGGACGCAAGUCUGACGGAGCGACGCCGCGUGAUUGAUGAAGUCCCUUUGGGACGUAAAGAUCUUUUGUCAGGGAAGAAGUUUAUUGACUGUACCUGAAGAAUAAGAGGCUCCUAAUCUCGUGCCAGCAGGAGCGGUAAUACGAGAGCCUCGAGCGUUAUCCGGAAUUAUUGGGCGUAAAGGGUGCCUAGGUUGCACUGCUAGUCUUUUGUCAAACCCCGGGGCUUAACUCCGGGCUCGCAAAGGAAACGGCAGAGCUAGAAAGUGCGAGAGGUUUGCGGAACUCAUGGUGUAGGGGUGAAAUCCGUUGAUAUCAUGGGGAACACCAAAUGCGAAGGCAGCAAACUGGCGCAUAUUUGACACUGAAGCACGAAAGCGUGGGUAGCGAAUGGGAUUAGAUACCCUGGUAGUC